UUUUAAAUUGACGAGGAACCGCACUAAAAAAGGAACUCCAGAGGGCUUUGUAAGAAAUGAAUUGACAGAUUCAGAUGAAGAGAACAUCAGGGGUGUCAAGCUGCCCAAAUACCCCACUGCACCAAAAAAGCUGUGGUCCAUUCAAG